GUCCAGGGCCAUGCCAUCCUGAACGUGCCCAAUCUUGGAAGCUAAGCAGGGCCAGGCCUGGUUAGUACUUGGAUGGGAGACCGCCUAGGAAGACCGGGUGCCAUAGGUG
rnacentral:rRNA from 1 species